rnacentral:tRNA from 1 species
GAGGAUGUAGUUCAAUGGUAGAGCACUCGCCUAGAAUGCGCAAGGCCCUGGGUUCUAUCCCCAGCACCUUCA